AUGAUACGCGAGGAACGUUACCUGGGCUCGAACGUAAGAUGACUGUAGGUGAAAGCUUACAUCUCUUCGGAGCAUUUUACGAGGUGCUGCAUGGUUGUCGUCAGCUCGUGCCGUGAGGUGUCGGGUUAAGUCCCAUAACGAGCGCAACCCUACCUUAGUUGCCAUCAGGUUAAGCUGGGGACUCUAAAGGAACUGCCUACGCAAGUAGUGAGGAAGCGGGGAUGACGUCAAAUCAGCACGGCCCUUACGUCCAGGGCUACACACGUGCUACAAUGGCCGAUACAGAGGGCAGCUACCUGGUGACAGGAUGCAAAUCUCCAAAGUCGGUCUCAGUUCGGAUCGGAGUCUGCAACCCGACUCCGUGAAGUUGGAUUCGCUAGUAAUCGCGCAUCAGCCAUGGCGCGGUGAAUACGUUCCCGGGCCUU
rnacentral:rRNA from 1 species